CCUACGGGGGGCCGCAGUGGGGAAUAUUGGACAAUGGGGGCAACCCUGAUCCAGCCAUGCCGCGUGUGUGAAGAAGGCCCUCGGGUUGUAAAGCACUUUCAGUGAGGAAGAACGCCUGGUGGUUAAUACCCAUCAGGAAAGACAUCACUCACAGAAGAAGCACCGGCUAACUCCGUGCCAGCAGCCGCGGUAAUACGGAGGGUGCGAGCGUUAAUCGGAAUUACUGGGCGUAAAGCGCGCGUAGGUGGCUUGAUAAGCCGGUUGUGAAAGCCCCGGGCUCAACCUGGGAACGGCAUCCGGAACUGUCAAGCUAGAGUGCAGGAGAGGAAGGUAGAAUUCCCGGUGUAGCGGUGAAAUGCGUAGAGAUCGGGAGGAAUACCAGUGGCGAAGGCGGCCUUCUGGACUGACACUGACACUGAGGUGCGAAAGCGUGGGUAGCAAACAGGAUUAGAUACCCCAGUAGUC
rnacentral:rRNA from 1 species